rnacentral:rRNA from 1 species
GUACACGCUGUGACUAGCAUAUCAAUAAGCGGAGGAAAAGAAACUAACAAGGAUUCCCCUAGUAACGGCGAGUGAAGCGGGAAGAGCUCAAAUUUGAAAUCUUAAAGGGUUUCCCUUUACGAAUUGUAGUUUAAAGAAGUGUUUUCUGUUGAGGUUUUGGUAAAAGUUCUUUGGAAUAGGACAUCAUAGAGGGUGAGAAUCCCGUAUUUGACCUUUACUUUCAACUUUGUGAUACACUUUCAAAGAGUCGGAUUGUUUGGGAAUGCAGUCCAAAAUGGGUGGUAAAUUUCAUCUAAAGCUAAAUAUUGGCGAGAGACCGAUAGCGAACAAGUACCGUGAGGGAAAGAUGAAAAGAACUUUGAAAAGAGAGUUAAACAGUACGUGAAAUUGUCAAAAGGGAAGCGUUUGACACCAGUGUUGUUUUUCUGAAAAUCAAUUAAAGAACUGUUUAUGCUAAGUUGUUUAGACUUUAUCAGCUAUCUGUUUAGUUUUGAGCUUUUCUUUAACUGCACUUUUCAGUUAACAAGUCAACAUCAAUUUCUUUUGCUGUAAAAAAGCUUGAGGAAGGUGGCUUGAGAUUCGUCUUAAGUGUUUAUAGCCUCUUGCCUAUGCAGUCGGAGAGAUUGAGGUCUGCAGCGUAGAUCCUUCGGGGCUAAAUGCAUUUGUGCUAAGUUAUAGCAUUUCAUAGACAACUUGUUGACUAUGAUUUGUCUUGUAGCUUACUCGCUUAUGUUAUUUUACCUACGCUUAGGAUGUUGACAGCAGUAUAGACUGU